rnacentral:rRNA from 1 species
AAUCAACGCUGGCGGCGUGCCUCAGACAUGCAAGUCGAACGAUUAAAGCUCUCUUCGGAGAGUGUAUAGAGUGGCGCACGGGUGAGUAACACGUAAGUAAUCUACCUUCGAGUGGGGAAUAACGUCCGGAAACGGACGCUAAUACCGCAUAAUGCAGCGGCAUCGCAAGAUGACAGUUGUUAAAGAUUUAUCGCUUGAAGAGGAGCUUGCGGCAGAUUAGCUAGUUGGUAAGGUAACGGCUUACCAAGGCUACGAUCUGUAUCCGGUCUAAGAGGACGGUCGGACACACUGACACUGAAUAACGGGUCAGACUCCUACGGGAGGCAGCAGUCGGG